rnacentral:rRNA from 1 species
GGGUUAGUAGAUUGGUCAUGCCACUGGUAUGUACUGGUCUCACUGAUUCCUCCUUCCUGAUGAACCGUAACGCCAUUAAUUUGGUGUCGCGGGGAGACUGGACUGAUACUUUGAAAAAAUUAGAGUGUUUAAAGCAGGCUAACGCUUGAAUACAUUAGCAUGGAAUAAUGAAAUAGGACGUUCGAUCUUAUUUUGUUGGUUUCUAGGGUUGACGUA